UACGGAAGGCAGCAGUGGGGAAUAUUGCACAAUGGGCGAAAGCCUGAUGCAGCUAUGCCGCGUGUAUGAAGAAGGCCUUAGGGUUGUAAAGUACUUUCAUCGGGGAGGAAAAAACAAAACUAAUAAUUUUAUUUCUUGACGUUACCCGAAAAAGAAGCACCGGCUAACUCCGUGCCAGCAGCCGCGGUAAUACGGAGGGUGCUAGCGUUAAUCAGAAUUACUGGGCGUAAAGAGCACGUAGGUGGUUUUUUUAAGUCAGAUGUGAAAUCCCUGGGCUUAACCUAGGAACUGCAUUUUGAAACUGAAAUACUAGAGUAUCGUAGAGGGAGGUAGAAUUCUAGGUGUAGCGGUGAAAUGCGUAGAUAUCUGGAGGAAUACCUGUGGCGAAAGUGGCCUCCUAAACGAAUACUGACACUGAGGGUGCGAAAGCGUGGGGAGCAAACAGGGAUUAGAUACC
rnacentral:rRNA from 1 species